UACGUAGGUGGCAAGCGUUGUCCGGAAUUAUUGGGCGUAAAGCGCGCGCAGGCGGUCCUUUAAGUCUGAUGUGAAAGCCCACGGCUCAACCGUGGAGGGUCAUUGGAAACUGGGGGACUUGAGUACAGAAGAGAAGAGUGGAAUUCCACGUGUAGCGGUGAAAUGCGUAGAGAUGUGGAAGAACACCAGUGGCGAAGGCGACUCUUUGGUCUGUAACUGACGCUGAGGCGCGAAAGCGUGGGGAGCAAACAGG
rnacentral:rRNA from 1 species